CCCCGGACCCCCGCCCCCCGCCGCGCCCCCAGCCCCGAGGGACGAGCUCCGCCGCCCGGCCCGGGAGCACAGCCAGCAGCGCCGGCCGCUCGUCCAGGCGACCAGAUGUUUGCCAUCCGGCCAGGGGUAGCCGAGGGGGCCCAGUUCCUCGGGGCCCCGCCUGGAGGAUGUCAGCCUGAGCUCCAGCCAGACAGCAACUCGAACUUCUUGGCGAGUGCCAAAGACGCCAAUGAGAAUUGGCAUGGGAUGCCAGGCCAAGGGGAGCCCGUGCUGAUGAGGAGCUCUUCCGAGCUGCCCUCUGACAACCAGGCCUUCCAGGCCCCUGGACUCGCCGAGGGGGAGGUGCGCAGCCCACCAGAGGGGGCGGAGAUCCCCAGGGCCGAGCUCGAGAAGAUGAGUGGGGCCAGCACCGUCUGCUCCCCCCUGGAGGACAACGGCUACGCCAGCAGCUCCCUGAGCACCGGCAGCCGUGGCAGCAGUCCUGAGCCCGCCUGCGGCACCCCUCAGGACCCGGGCCCUCAGGAUCCCCUUCUGCCCUCCGUGGCCCAGGCGGUGCGGCUGCUGCAGGCUCAGGAGCGCUACAAAGAGCAGGAGAAGGAGAAGCACCAUGUGCACUUGGUGAUGUACCGUCGCCUGGCCCUGCUGCAGUGGAUCCGUGGCCUGCAGCACCAGCUGGUUGACCAGCAGACCCGUCUGCAAGAGAGCUUUGACACCAUCCUAGACAACCGGAAGGAGCUCAUCCGCUGCCUCCAACAGAGGGCGGCCCCAUCCAGGCCCCAGGAUCAGGGCUAAGGGUGUGCCUCCACAGGGGGGCAGGGGUACAUGGAUAUAUUUGCAGGCAUGUGUGGGGUUGCGCACAAGGUCCCAUCGGUCCAGAGGAGGGGCGCCUGCAGUCAUGUGCAGGUGUGGAUGACCCAGGCCCCUGAGGUUUCCCAGGCCACCCCCUGCUCUCUCCCCCUGACUUCGCUCUACUAGGGCCAUUGUCCCCCGAUGGUAGAGUCGCUGUGGGAGGUGUGGGGGCUGCUCCGGCCUGCCACGGCUUUUUGGCCACAGUUUUGGCAACUGGUAGAGACUUAGGAUGAGGGAGGGGUGCUGGGGGUGGUGAUGGCC